UAAAUUUUUUAAAGCGAAUAAGGGCGCAUGGUGGAUGCCUAGGGUCUGAGAGGCGAAGAAGGACGUGGUAAGCUGCGAUAAGCUGCGGAGAGUUGCACACGAGCGUUAUAUCCGUAGAUUUCCGAAUGGGACAACCUGGUAUGUUGAAGACAUAUCACUCUGUAAAGAGAGCCAACCCGAGAACUGAAACAUCUAAGUACCGGGAGGAAAAGAAAAUAAGACAAUGAUUCCCUAAGUAGUGGCGAGCGAACAGGGAAGAGCCCAAACCAGUGAGGCGUGCCUCACUGGGGUUGUAGGACUGCAUUUAGAAAGUAUUAUCAAGCAGAAGUAUCUGGAAAGUUACAUCAUAGAAGGUGAAAAUCCUGUAAGCGGAAAUUAAUACGGACGAGCAGUAUCCUGAGUAGCGCGGGACCGGAGGAAUCUUGCGUGAAUCUGCCAGCACCAUCUGGUAAGGCUAAAUACUCCUCAGACACCGAUAGUGAACCAGUACCGUAAGGGAAAGGUGAAAAGUACCCCGAACAGGGGAGUGAAAUAGUACCUGAAACCGUGCGCCUACAAGCGGUCGGAGCAUCAUUAAGAUGUGACGGCGUGCCUUUUGCAUAAUGAGCCUACGAGUUACUCCUCACUGGCGAGGUUAAGUUCUUAAAUAACGGAGCCGUAGCGAAAGCGAGUCCGAAUAGGGCGUUCAGUCAGUGGGGGUAGACGCGAAACUUUGUGAUCUAUCCAUGGGCAGGUUGAAGUUUUGGUAACACAAAAUGGAGGACCGAACCCGUUGACGUUGAAAAGUCUUGGGAUGACCUGUGGAUAGGGGUGAAAGGCCAAUCAAACUGAGAGAUAGCUCGUUCUCCCCGAAAUGUUUUUAGGAACAGCCUCGGAUAAAAAGAAGUGUGUUAGAGGUAGAGCUACUGAUUGGGCUAGGGGGCUUCAUCGCCUACCAAACCCUGACAAACUCCGAAUGCUAACACAUAUCUCCGGGAGUGAGGCUACGGGCGCUAAGGUCCGUGGCCGAGAGGGAAAUAACCCAGAUUAGCGACUAAGGUCCCCAAUCCACGUCUAAGUUGAAUAAACGCGGUGGGACUUCUAUAACAGCCAGGAUGUUUGCUCGGAAGCAGCAAUUCAUUUAAAGAGUGCGUAACAGCUCACUGGUCGAGAGGUCCUGCACGGAAAAUAAUCGGGCAUCAAGACGUGAACCGAAGUCCUAAAAUUGCACUAUGAGUGUAUAUUGGUAGGGGAGCAUUGAAAACUGCGUUGAAGGUGAUGGGCGACCAUUGCUGGAGUGUUUUCAAAAGAAAAUGUAGGCAUAAGUAACGAUAAUUAAAGUGAAAAACUUUAACGCCGAAAGUCUAAGGGUUCCUGAUCAACGUUAAUCGGAUCAGGGUUAGUCUGGUCCUUAGGAAAACCCGAGAGGGGUAUCUGAUGGAAAGAAGGUUAAUAUUCCUUCACCUGCAUAUCAAUAAAAGUGACGGAUCGCCGUGGCACUUGCGUCCUGACGGAAUAGGUCGCUGAGCAGAACCUUCGGGGGAAGCGAAAGUGUAAAAGUGGUUCCAAGAAAAGCGAGAUAUGCAGCCAGUACCGCAAACCGACACAGGUAGACGGGAUGAGUAUUCUAAGGCGCUCGGGUGAGCCGUGGAGAAGGAACUAGGCAAAUUAAUGCUGUAACUUCGGGAUAAAGCAUACCAUAGCGAUAUGGUCUCAGUAAAUAGGUUCAACCAACUGUUUAACAAAAACAUAGGGCCCUGCAAAAUCGAAAGAUGACGUAUAGAGCCUGAUACCUGCCCGGUGCUGGAAGGUUAAGGAAGGAUGUUAGCCUCAGGGCGAAGCUUCUGACUGAAGCCCCAGUAAACGGCGGCCGUAACUAUAACGGUCCUAAGGUAGCGAAAUUCCUUGUCGGGUAAGUUCCGACCUGCACGAAUGGUCUAAUGAGUUGAACACUGUCUCCUCCACGAGCCCGGUGAAAUUGUAGUAUCGGUGAAGAUGCCGGUUACCCGCCACGGGACGAAAAGACCCCGUGAACCUUCACUACAACUUUGCAUUGAUUUUGAGCAACCGAUGUGUAGGAUAGUUGGGAGACUAUGAAGCAUGCACGCCAGUGUGUGUGGAGUCAACGUUGAAAUACCAACCUUCUGUUGCUUAGAACCUAAUCCUGAAUAAGGAGACAUUGCAUGGUGGGUAGUUUGACUGGGGUGGUCGCCUCCUAAAAAGUAACGGAGGCUUGCAAAGGUACCCUCAGUACGGUUGGUAAUCGUACAUAGAGCGCAUUAGUAUAAGGGUGCUUGACUGUGAGGCAGACACGCCGAGCAGGGACGAAAGUCGGCUAAAGUGAUCCGGUGGUUCUGUAUGGAAGGGCCAUCGCUCAAAGGAUAAAAGGUACUCCGGGGAUAACAGGCUGAUCUUACCCAAGAGCUCAUAUCGACGGUAAGGUUUGGCACCUCGAUGUCGGUUCGUCACAUCCUGGGGCUGGAGAAGGUCCCAAGGGUUGGGCUGUUCGCCCAUUAAAGUGGCACGUGAACUGGGUUCAGAACGUCGCAAGACAGUUCGGUCUCUAUCUGUGGUGGGCGCUAGUAAAUUGAGAGGACAUGACCUUAGUACGAGAGGACCGGGUCGUAUGUACCGCUGGUGAAUCAGUUAUGCCGCCAGGUGUAGUGCUGAGUAGCUACGUACAGCCAGGAUAAACGCUGAAAGCAUCUAAGCGUGAAACCUUCCUCAAGAUGAGUUUACUUUUAAGGGUCGUCAGAGACGAUGACGUUGAUAGGCUAUAGAUGUAAAGGUGGUAACAUCAAAGUCGAGUAGUACUAAUUGCCCGUAAGCUUUAUUUUUUAAAU
rnacentral:rRNA from 1 species